rnacentral:lncRNA from 1 species
GUCCUCCUACAUGACUACAUGGAAUAGUGGUCAUCCAUGAAUGAAUCCAAAAAACUAAGUAGCUGAAAAAUGAGAUUUGGGUUUGCAAGCUAGAAGAAAUGUUUGGCAUGAUACCUAGUUGCUUAUUGGUGAUCACAAGGAGGGUGCUUGCAAUGUGGUAAUGGGGAUGUUAGGAUCACUAUCAAGCACUUGCAAAUAGAAUUAGAUCUGAACUAAACUUGAACUUAAUCAACAACAAACCAGCCUAUACCAGCACUAAACUAGCACCAAAGUAUGAUUGAAUCCAAUUAUUGAGACUCAAGUCGACCAUCCAUAAACAACUCAAAGCACUAAAUACUAAAUUAAGCUCGAAACUUAGUACUAAACUGAACACAACCAUUUACAUAGAAAUCAAAGCACUACAACGCAAAGCCAAUUGAGACUCAAGCCAAUUCCAUACAUCGCAUUCCUUAUCACUACAAUUUAAUCAAUUUUAAUGGAAGGCAAUUAGGAUCCUAUCGCAGCAAGAAAAUAAGUAAACAAAGUUCUUUCAUCUUUUACAUGUCAAUUAAUAGCA